rnacentral:rRNA from 1 species
UAGGGAAUCUUCGGCAAUGGACGAAAGUCUGACCGAGCAACGCCGCGUGAGUGAAGAAGGUUUUCGGAUCGUAAAACUCUGUUGUUAGAGAAGAACAAGGACGUUAGUAACUGAACGUCUCCUGACGUUAUCUAACCAGAAAGCCACGGCUAACUACGUGCCAGCAGCCGCGGUAAUACGUAGGUGGCAAGCGUUGUCCGGAAUUAUUGGGCGUAAAGCGAGCGCAGGCGGUUUCUUAAGUCUGAUGUGAAAGCCCCCGGCUCAACCGGGGAGGGUCAUUGGAAACUGGUAGACUGCAGUGCAGAAGAGGAGAGUGGAAUUCCAUGUGGAGCGGUGAAAUGCGUAGAUAUAUGGAGGAACACCAGUGGCGAAGGCGGCUCACUGGUCUGUAACUGACGCUGAGGCUCGAAAGCGAGGGGAGCGAACAGG